CCCCUCUCAGGGUCACACCUGGAGAGUUUCCAGUCCUCUACCAGUCUCGGCUACGGGAGGGAGAGUCAAGCAGAGGCCUACCCAUUCCAUUCCCAACUUGGCCAGUGCCUAGCGAGUGGCAGACAUUCUGCUACAAGU